AAGAAGAGGAGGAGGAGGAGGAGGAGGAGGAAGAAGAAGAGGAAGAAGGCCCUACACAGAUGCUAACAGUCACUGUGAUGAUGAAGUACCUGCAUGGGGCAGGUUAUACAUAUAUGUGUGCAUGAAUAUAUAAUUAUUGUGAAUUCUGCCUCCCUGGUUUUGCAACUGUGCUGGGUGCCAGGGGUAUGACCAAGGUUAAGUUCACCAUAUACUUCCCAAAUUGAAGACAAGAAGUUGCAGAAUCUCACGGAAUAAAAGAGGAAUGGACCUAA